GUGGGGAAUAUUGGGCAAUGGGCGCAAGCCUGACCCAGCAACGCCGCGUGAAGGAAGAAGGCUUUCGGGUUGUAAACUUCUUUUCUCAGGGACGAAGCAAGUGACGGUACCUGAGGAAUAAGCCACGGCUAACUACGUGCCAGCAGCCGCGGUAAUACGUAGGUGGCAAGCGUUAUCCGGAUUUACUGGGUGUAAAGGGCGUGUAGGCGGGACUGCAAGUCAGAUGUGAAAACCACGGGCUCAACCUGUGGCCUGCAUUUGAAACUGUAGUUCUUGAGUACUGGAGAGGCAGACGGAAUUCCUAGUGUAGCGGUGAAAUGCGUAGAUAUUAGGAGGAACACCAGUGGCGAAGGCGGUCUGCUGGACAGCAACUGACGCUGAGGCGCGAAAGCGUGGGGAGCAAACAGG
rnacentral:rRNA from 1 species